GUGUGUAUGCAAAUAUGUCACAUGGAUAAGCGUGUGUCUAAGAUUGGCAAGGAACUUUACCUGUUUUUGUCCCAAACUCAGGUAGGAGUGCGUCGAAAGGAGCCCUGCAGAGCCAGGCCAGUGAGCCCCCUUUCUCCGCUCCCCCUUUCGGUUUGGGAACAUCAGUUGGGGCAAUUUGCUAGGGGAAGGGGGUGUGUGGGACCACCAUGAACCUUCCCGAAACUUCCAGAACAACAAAGCACACAGUUACCGCCCCGAGGGUGGUCCCAGACCCAGCACACUACAUAAAAGUGGGCUCGGAGAGUAGCUGGAGUCGACUUUCCUUCCCCGUGCCAAUGGAGGCUUUGAGUCGAGACAGCAGCGCUGGAUCCGAGGGCGUUGAUGAUUUCCCCCACACCCCAGAAUAAUGACACUCUGUGGUACUUCAGAUGUAUGGCUCCCUUACAACUCAUGGUGGGCAACUCUUUUUGACUAAUUUAGUUAAGAACUAUCUACCUUAAAACCCUCUUCAUAAUGGUGAGAGAACAUGCGUAGUUCCAUCAUGACACUUGUUCUUGUGGCCUUUGCUUUGAAGUGCAGUUCUUUCAUGUACAUACUGAGACUCCUAGUUUUAAAAGGAGAGAAGCUGACCAACACUUCGCAAGUGGUAACAGAAGCCUGUAAUCAGAGUCCGGAAAAUUAAUUCUCUGUAAAAGCAUCUGGAUGCUUUUCCUGCCUUGUAGUCAUCUUCAUUUGUAGUGCUUUAUGCUUUACUUGUGGACUCUGUCAUAAGCUCAAGUUAAAAAAAGAAAAGCAGAAGUAAACGUGCUGUCAUCAGCAGAGGACAACAGAUGCCUUGGUGGAAAAUGAGUUUUGAACUGAAAAUUAAUACAAUAAAUGGUAGUGCUACAACAUGUGGAAUAUGGAGUGAACUAAAAAGGGGAAGUUGUUCUUUCUACUGAGCAAGCUUUUUGGCAUAUUUUUAUUCAUGCAUUUGAUAACACUGUUAUCCUAACAUUGUUCUGCCUGUAAAGCUUUUCCAGCUGUAAUAUGUGAGAGCUUUGUUUUUCCCUUCACUGUGAUGACUCUGUCCUUUGGUAUUUUUCAUAGCUUGACAUGAGGCAGUAAUGGUUCUAUUAGCUGCACUGUAUCUGCUGAGCUUGCUGUUUUCAGGGAACAUGUCAUCACCAGUGCCUUUCUGCAGUUUCCUUAUUAGCAUGUGCCCUUUACUGACUCUGCAGGAGCUAUCACCUAGAAUUAAAUAUUUUCCGCUAGACCUGUCCUUACUCUGUGCAAAAUGAUUACAAUCCAUUAUGCCACCCUCUUGCUGACAGCCAGAUACCACUGAGAUUACAAUAAAAUUGCUCCACAUUUAAAUAUGAUACUAACCUGGUGCAGUGACUAUUGAUAAUAAGAAAUGUUUGAAAAAAAUCCUUUCACUUCAGUAACUGGUGAUGAACUUUUGAGAAUAAAAAUGUGGAUACUUAUUAAAAUGAUUAUAUCAGCUGUGCUGUAAUAGUUGCGAUAACGUUAAUGGAAAAUGUAAAGCAUCCCAAUAACUUUUUCCUUCAUUAAGAUUGCUAAUAAGAAGUAGAGUAGCAUGGACCUGUAGGAGAUAUAAAAGAGCUGUAAUGGAAAAUAAAAGGUUUGAAAUUAUUCAUGUUUAAUUUUGCAUUUGACACAAAAGACAAAGUUUUCUUCAACAUUUGCCAAUGCAAGAUCUUUACUUGUCAAAAAAAUUAAAAUAAAUCUGUGCAGAUCUGUGAAUAUGUUAUUUUUUCUUACUGGAGAAAAGGGAAGCACCAUAGUUUGCAUUGACUUGGAUACAGACAUUCUUUUCCUUUGGGAUACAUUUGUCUUCCUUUCAAAUUGUAUACCUAUAGAGCAUCAAAAGUCUCAUCAUAGUUACUUUUUUGUUUUGUUUUGUUUUGUUGUUUUU